rnacentral:rRNA from 1 species
UACGAAGGGUGCAAGCGUUACUCGGAAUUACUGGGCGUAAAGCGUGCGUAGGUGGUGUGUUAAGUCUGUCGGGAAAGCCCCGGGCUCAACCUGGGAAUGGCGAUGGAUACUGGCUCGCUAGAGUGCGGUAGAGGAGAGUGGAAUUCCCGGUGUAGCAGUGAAAUGCGUAGAGAUCGGGAGGAACAUCAGUUGCGAAGGCGGCUCUCUGGACCAGCACUGACACUGAGGCACGAAAGCGUGGGGAGCAAACAGG